rnacentral:rRNA from 1 species
AGCGAACGCUGGCGGCAGGCCUAACACAUGCAAGUCGAACGAACCUUUCGGGGUUAGUGGCGGACGGGUGAGUAACACGUGGGAACGUGCCUUUAGGUUCGGAAUAACUCAGGGAAACUUGUGCUAAUACCGAAUGUGCCCUUCGGGGGAAAGAUUUAUCGCCUUUAGAGCGGCCCGCGUCUGAUUAGCUAGUUGGUUGAGGUAAUGGCUCACCAAGGCGACGAUCAGUAGCUGGUCUGAGAGGAUGAUCAGCCACAUUGGGACUGAGACACGGCCCAAACUCCUACCGGAGGCAGCAGUGGGGAAUCUUGCGCAAUGGGCGAAAGCCUGACGCAGCCAUGCCGCGUGAAUGAUGAAGGUCUUAGGAUUGUAAAAUUCUUUCACCGGGGACGAUAAUGACGGUACCCGGAGAAGAAGCCCCGGCUAACUUCGUG